rnacentral:rRNA from 1 species
UACGUAGGGGGCGAGCGUUGUCCGGAUUUAUUGGGCGUAAAGAGCUCGUAGGCGGUUUGGUAAGUUGGAUGUGAAAUCUCCAGGCUCAACUUGGAGGGGUCAUUCGAUACUGCCAUGACUAGAGUUCGGUAGGGGAGUGUGGAAUUCCUGGUGGAGCGGUGAAAUGCGCAGAUAUCAGGAGGAACACCCGUAGCGAAGGCGGCACUCUGGGCCGGAACUGACGCUGAGGAGCGAAAGCAUGGGGAGCGAACAGG